rnacentral:rRNA from 1 species
GACGAACGCUGGCGGCGUGCCUAAUACAUGCAAGUCGAACGCACAGUUUAUACCGUAGCUUGCUACACCAUAGACUGUGAGUUACGAACGGGUGAGUAACGCGUAGGUAACCUGCCUGGUAGCGGGGGAUAACUAUUGGAAACGAUAGCUAAUACCGCAUAAUAUUAAUUAUUGCAUGAUAAUUAAUUGAAAGGUGCAAUUGCACCACUACCAGAUGGACCUGCGUUGUAUUAGCUAGUAGGUGAGGUAACGGCUCACCUAGGCGACGAUACAUAGCCGACCUGAGAGGGUGAUCGGCCACACUGGGACUGAGACACGGCCCAGACUCCUACGGGAGGCAGCAGUAGGGAAUCUUCGGCAAUGGACGAAAGUCUGACCGAGCAACGCCGCGUGAGUGAAGAAGGUUUUCGGAUCGUAAAGCUCUGUUGUAAGAGAAGAACGGGUGUGAGAGUGGAAAGUUCACACUGUGACGGUAUCUUACCAGAAAGGGACGGCUAACUACGUG